rnacentral:rRNA from 1 species
GGACUACCCGGGUAUCUAAUCCUGUUUGCUCCCCACGCUUUCGCGUCUCAGCGUCAGUACCGUCCCAGCGAGCUGCCUUCGCCGUUGGUGUUCCUCCUGAUAUCUGCGCAUUUCACCGCUACACCAGGAAUUCCACUCGCCUCUUCCGGACUCUAGCCCGACAGUAUCCACCGGCAUUCCAGGGUUGAGCCCUGGACUUUCACAGCGGACUUACCGAGCCGCCUACACGCUCUUUACGCCCAAUGAUUCCGGACAACGCUUGCCCCCUACGUAUUACCGCGGCGGCUGGCAC